AGCCCGGCUCUGAGCCGCCCGCCCGGCCCGGCCGCCCCCGCCGCGCCCCGCCGCCCUCAAUGAGGUUCUUCCGACUCACCUUCAAGUGCUUCGUGGAUUGCUUCUGAGCCCCCCCUCACCACCACCACGGCCACGGAGCCGCCCCCGACCCGCCCCUGCUCCCCGGCCCCCCGCGACAUGCCCCCAGUCCCCGCCGACACGGCCGCCCCGCAGCCGUCCGCCGCCCCUCGACACGAUGCCGCCGCCACCACCGCUGCCGCCGCUGCUGCCCCCGCGGGCUCCGCAGAGGGUCGUGGGGAAGCGGAGGGCACGGAGCCCCCUACAGCGGGCGAGGAGCGAGCAGUGACGGCACCGCUGGUGGGACCCCCCGGCCCUCCGAAAGCGGCUGCUGUCCCCCAUCAGCGGGAGACGUGGACCCGGCAGAUGGAUUUUAUCAUGUCCUGCGUGGGGUUUGCUGUGGGGCUGGGCAACGUCUGGCGCUUCCCCUACCUGUGCUACAAGAAUGGUGGAGGCGUCUUCCUCAUCCCCUAUCUGAUCAUCGUCUUCGUGGGCGGCAUCCCCGUAUUCUUCUUGGAGGUGGCCCUGGGUCAGUUCAUGAAGCAGGGGGGCAUCGCCGCCUGGAACAUCGCCCCCCUCUUCAAGGGUCUGGGCCUGGCCUCCAUGGUGAUUGUCUUCUUCUGCAACUCCUACUACAUCAUGAUCCUGGUGUGGGGGCUCUUCUACCUGGUGUACUCACUGACGGACACCUUGCCCUGGGCCACCUGUGGCCAUUCCUGGAACACGGAGCACUGCACCGAGCUCUUCCACCUCGAGCUCUGCAGCAACGGCAGCACCAACACCAGCGUCGACUCCUUCAACGUCAGCUGCACCGACAUGGCCAACAAGCGCUCACCCGUCAUCGAGUUUUGGGAGAACAAGGUGCUGCGGCUCUCAGGGGACCUCAGCGAGCCUGGGGAGAUGAACUGGCAGAUGAUCCUCUGCUUGGUUACCACCUGGGUCAUCGUCUACUUCUGCAUCUGGAAGGGUGUCAAGUCAACUGGGAAGAUUGUCUACUUCACGGCACUCUUCCCCUAUGUGGUCCUCAUCCUGAUGCUGGUGCAUGGAGUGACGCUGCCUGGGGCUCUUGGUGGCAUUAUCUUCUACCUGAAACCCGACUGGUCCAAGCUGGCUGAGGCGCAGGUCUGGAUUGAUGCUGGUACCCAGAUCUUCUUCUCCUAUGCCAUUGGGCUGGGUGCACUGACUGCGCUGGGCAGCUACAACCGCUUCCACAACAACUGUUACAGGGACGCCUACAUCCUAGCUGUGAUCAACAGCUCCACCAGCUUCUUUUCUGGCUUUGUUGUCUUCUCUGUGCUGGGCUUCAUGGCCUCUGAACAAGGUGUGGACAUCUCCAAGGUGGCCGAGUCCGGCCCUGGGCUGGCUUUCAUCGCCUACCCCAAAGCCGUGACACUGAUGCCCUUGUCUCCGCUCUGGGCCACACUCUUCUUCUUCAUGCUCCUUGUGUUGGGGCUGGACAGCCAGUUUGUCGGCGUGGAGGGUUUCAUCACGGGCAUCCUGGACCUGUUCCCCCAUCCGGGAGCCGGCUCGCUGCGCCGCGAGCUCACCGCCGCAGUCUGCUGCGUCGUCUUCUGCCUCAUCGACCUCUCCAUGGUUACACAGAGCGGCAUGUACGUGUUCCAGCUCUUUGACAACUACUCGGCCAGUGGGAUCACACUGCUGUGGCAGGCGUUCUGGGAGUGCGUGGUCAUCGCCUGGGUCUACGGCGCUGACCGCUUCAUGGACGACGUAGCUCGCAUGAUCGGCUACCGGCCCCUGCCCUUCAUGAAGUGGUGCUGGGCCGUGGUGACACCGCUGGUCUGCGUGGGUGAUACGUGUGUCAGGGCCAUGGGCAGCCACAUAUGGGGGCCACCAGACCACUGCCCUGUGGGACCUCAUCCCCCUCCUCCGCCCAGGGCAUCUUCUUGUUCCACGUGGUGAACUACAAGCCGCUGACCUACAACAAGACAUACGUGUACCCGUGGUGGGGGGAAGCCAUCGGCUGGGUCCUGGCGCUCUCCUCCAUGCUCUGCAUCCCCUGCACCGUCCUCUACAAGUUCCUGCGCUGCAAAGGCUCCUUCCGUGAGCGCUGGCAGCUCCUGACCACUCCAAUCUGGGGCCACCAUCACCUGGAGUACCUGACGCCCGAGGCAGAAGCCAAGCUGCUGGCCCCGGAGCCCCCCAAGGAGAAGGCAACGCUCUUUGAGACUGUGAUCUGAGCGUGGGGAGGGUCGCGCUGCUCCCGCCCGCCAUAGCAAUAAUGCCAGCACCGCCUCCCACCCAUGCUGCCCCGCGCCCCCCCACCCCCCCCAGCCUCACUGCAGCGGGGGGGUGGAGGACUGCAAGGUGGGGAGUCACUGGGGGCCAUGGGUAGCAAGAGGGGUCUCUGGCUUGGGGGAGCCUGGGGGGGCAGCGGGGAGGCUGUGGGCCGGGGGAACCAUCAAGACAGCCCAUCCCUGUCCCCCGCCUGCGGCCCCCACAGCCCCUGCUCACUAACCGCUUCCUGUAGCGUUCGUCUGGUGUAACCCCAACCGCCCCGACAUCUGGCAAUAAACUGGGAGACCCUGGCA